UCAGAUUCGUGAUAUCAAUAAAAUCAAAUGAUUUAAUCAGAUGUUCAAAUAAAUUACAACACUUAUCAAAUCAACUGAUGAAACUUUGAUUGUGUCUCAUCAAUUGUAAUUGUUAUUUACUUGUGAUGGUGAUGAUUUGAUUUCCCAAUUGUUAUUAAUUAACUACCUGUGAUUAUAAAGCAAGGAAGACAUUUAAUUAUUAAAACAACAAGACAACAACAACAACAAUUAACAACAAUCAAAGGUAACUGUUAAUACCAACAACAACAACUUCAGCACAAAAGUAUAUAUUAUUAAUGGUAAUCGGGGUUCAUGGUGGUGGUGGUAAAGAGGGAGUGAGGUGUUGAUUAACUUUCAUCUCUCAGUGAGUUCAUUGGAUUUAACUCUCUUAUUUCCAUGCAUGAUUAGAUUGCUAUAGUUAAUCUUAUGAUUCAUGUAAUAUGCAAACUCACAAAUAAAUACACAAUCUGAUUACAUGGAAGCUCAGAUAAGAUUUACAUGAAUUUUAUUCGCUUUGAUGAUAAAGAAAAUUUUUCCAAUUCUUUGCAUGGAAGAAAACACUUUAAACGAAUUAGCUUUAGUUUAUCAAUAAUCAUGAAACGUAGCAGAAAAGACGAUGAAAAU